rnacentral:rRNA from 1 species
GGUCUUUAGAUUUUUAUUUAAGAUCAGGCCUGCCCAUUGAUUUGAAAAAUUAAAAGGCUGCGGUAUUUUAACUGUACGAAGGUAGCAUAAUCAUUUGUCUUUUAAUUGGAGGCUAGAAUGAAUGGUUUGAUGAGAAAUAAGCUUUCUUUUUUUAAUUAAUUUGAAUUUAAUUUUUUAGUUAAAAAGCUAAAAUUUUUUUAUAGGACGAGAAGACCCUAUAGAAGUUUACUUUAUUAAUAAUUUUUUGUUUUUUGUUGUUAAAAUAUUUUUUUAAAUUAUAUAGUUUUGUUGGGGUGACAUUAAAAUUUAUUUAACUUUUAAUUUUUAUUUCAUUAGUUUAUGUUUUUUUGAUCCAGUAUUUAUUGAUUAAAAGUUUAACUUACCUUAGGGAUAACAGCGUAAUUUUUUCGGAGAGUUCAUAUCGAUGAAUAAAGUUUGCGA